GUCCACUCUGACACCGUUCCAGAUUAGUUCACUCUGUGCAGCGCGUCACAGAACUGAGGCCGGAGCCGCCGCCGUCCGAGACGGAGCAUGAGCGAUACCGCACAGGAUGACGAGGUGCUGCAGCAGAUCGAGCGGGAGGUGCGGAUGAGGGAGGGGGCCAGCAAGCUGCUGGCAGCCUGCUCUCAGAGGGAGCAGGCACUGGAGGCCUCCAAGAGCCUCCUGACCUGCAACGCCCGCGUCCUGGCCUUACUGAGCCGGCUGCAGAGGAUGAGGAAGGCCCGGAUCCUACAGAGAGCGGGACACAGCCCAUCUGAAGAUCUACUUCCAUGUACAGGAAAAGUAGCACUCUCAGACCUGAGAAUCCCCCUCAUGUGGAAAGACUCGGAGUACUUCAAAAACAAAGGGGAGCUGCAUCGCUGCGCCGUAUUCUGCCUCCUCCAGUGCGGCACCGAGAUCCACGACACCGACCUCGUGAUGGUCGACAGGACUUUGACCGACAUCUGCUUCGAAGACACGGUCACGUUCUACGCCGUGGACCCGGCCUUCCAGCUGCGCGUGGAGCUGUACAGCAGCUGUGCGGUGGAGGAUUUCCCCCAGGGGUCUCUGGGGGCCAGGAGGCUGAGCCUUCUGGGCAGCUCUCUGGGAGGCUCCUCGGGGAAAAAGAUCCGCGCCGCGCUAGAGUCCGCGGGACUCUGCGGAGCCGUCUCCUACGGAGGGGACGCGAGGCCCGGAGCCGUGUCCCCGCCUCUGUCCCACGACCAGUCCACGCCGGGGCCUAAGUUUAACCUGCUGGCUCACACAACUCUGAGUAUUGAGCACAUCCAGGAGGGUUUUAAGACCCAUGAUUUUCUUCUUGCAGCCACAGAGGACAGUCCGUUCUGGUUGCCUCUUUACGGAAACAUGUGCUGCCGCUUGGUGGCUCAGCCUCUGUGCAUGACUCAGCCGGUGAUAAGUGGGCAGCUCCAGGUCAAGGCUGAAGAGGACUUUAGCGACUGGGGAGACGUCUACGGCGUCCUCAGGGGGCGAACCCUUCUCUGCUAUCAGGGCCGAGGAGACCCGGAGCGUGAGGAGAAGCCGCUGCUUUUAAUCCCCGUCAGAAAGGACACAGUCGUGUGUGCGUCUGAGGCAGAUCCUGUCCACCGCAUCUACGUCAGCACACGGACUCGCGGAGACGACGCGACCUACACUCUGACCGCGCACACGUCUGAGGAGGCCAGGCGCUGGAAGGAGGCCCUCUGGUGGCACGUCCGCAACAUGAGUGAGGCACUCGCCAAUAUCGUUUGUAACCGCACGUGUCUCAUUUUCGCAAAGCCGCUUAUCUUUGCAGUCUGCGGACGGGCUUCGUGUUCCCAAGCCACUGGAAGCAGUGCUGUGAUAACCUCAUGAAGAUUGAAACGCCGAGCUCCAGGAAAUCCAUCACGCUGAAGCAGGGAUCUCUAUACCAUGAAAUAGUUAGCGACAGCGCGGUAACAGUGGAGUAAAGCCACCUGCCUGGCCGAGGAAUCACGGACAUGACGGACUCUUUCACAUCUACGAAGAAGCCAGGCUUAUUGUAACUGUACUUACUAUUUUGACUGCAUGACUCUAACUAUUGACCCAACCACCAUUAAAAUGACAGUGAAAAGUGACAAAGUGUGAUCUUGCAAUCAUUGAAUAUUUAGUGCAUAUCCAGAGAAACCAUUUUAGAUUCCUCACAUCGCAGCAAAAGGUGUCCACUUCCACUAAUAAGGAUUAAAUGUGCAAAAAGCUUCCAGGUGCUGCGACUAAAUGACAUUACGUCUAUUUGCAUCCGGCUAUGAAGUCAUUUACAAUCAGAGCCCACAGCUUCAAUUACAAGAAAAAAAAAAAUUUAAAAAAAGACUUGAGGAAGUUCCGGGGUUCUGUGAAGAGUGACGUCCUGUUUGAAGCGUAUAUUCUUGUACACACAACUUCCUUCAAGGAAUUUCUUGAAGUCUUGCACACAUGCAUAUUUCAGUAAGUACUCCAAACUAUUAGGAAGUCCGUCUGAGGAUUUGCUCUUCAUAGCUGAUCACAUUUUGGCUGUUUCCAGGCCUAAAACCAACAUGGCCGCCUAUAGCCAAUCACGGAAAGAUUCUCCUUAAAGUUAUUUAUGAAUAUAUUGUCAUAACACUGUUAACAUGUGUUAAAUCCACACUUGACUCACACACUAAUUUAUAUUAAAUAACCAAUAAAGAGGAGGAAGAACAUA